rnacentral:rRNA from 1 species
AACGAACGCUAGCGGGAUGCCUCAAACAUGCAAGUCGUACGCGAAAGUACCUUCGGGUACAAGUAGAGUGGCGCACGGGUGAGUAACACGUAGGUAACGUGCCCUUUCGCUGGGGAUAACUCCGGGAAACCGGAGCUAAUACCGAAUGAUCUAGUAGAGUCCUUGGACUUUAUUGGUAAAGCCGUAAGGCGCGAAAGGAGCGGCCUGCGUCCCAUUAGCUUGUUGGUGGGGUAAAAGCCUACCAAGGCGACGAUGGGUAGCUGGUCUGAGAGGAUGAUCAGCCACACUGGAACUGAAACACGGUCCAGACUCCCACGGGAGGCAGCAGUUGGGAAUAUUGGACAAUGGGCGAAAGCCUGAUCCAGCAAUCCCGCGUGGGUGACGAAGGCUCUAGGGUCGUAAAGCCUUUCCAGCAGGGAAGAACACAAUGACGGUACCUGCAGAAGAAGCACCGGCUAACUACG